CCUACGGGAGGCAGCAGUGAGGAAUAUUGGUCAAUGGCCGGAAGGCUGAACCAGCCAUGCCGCGUGAAGGUCAGUGCCCUAUGGGCGUUAAACUUCUUUUGUGCGGGAGCAAUAAUGGUCACGUGUGGCCAGACGAGAGUACCGUACGAAUAAGCAUCGGCUAACUCCGUGCCAGCCGCCGCGGUAAUACGGGGGAUGCAAGCGUUAUCCGGAUGUACUGGGUUUAAAGGGUGCGUAGGCGGGGAGGUAAGUCAGCGAGCAAAUGCCCGCGCUCAACGGGGGGGAGUGCCAUUGAUACUGGCUUGCUGGAAUGCGGAUGCGGUGGGAGGAAUGUGUGGUGUAGCGGUGAAAUGCAUAGAUAUCA
rnacentral:rRNA from 1 species